UUUCAGCAUCCUUCCAUCAUAACAUUGUGGCACCGAGAAAUUUGCUUGAAAACCCUGGAAAAAAUGUCUAUGGGAGAGCCUCGUGUUUGAGAUAGCAUAACUGUUAACAUCAAAUAUAGACUGGGAACUGCCUCGGAUGCAAGAUAGUAUUCCGCAGAGGAAAGGAGCAUUGCAGAGACCGUUGGGCUAUCCACGCACUCCUGAAACUCUGUGCUUCUGCCAGAGUUAUCAGAUUGAAUUAAAGAACUGGGAGAAAGAAAGACCUGGAGAAAAAAAAAUGUUCUUGAAGGGACUUCUAGCUACAAUUUGACUCUCAAGACACUGUUGCUGAAAUAUUUUCACGGUGUUGUUCUAAAAAUCUUUAGCCUCUUAUAAACGUAAUCUUUGGCAAAUGA